GACUUUUGUCACCCGGAGGGUCUCAUUUCUGUCACCCUGAGACUCUUGUCACCCCAAGGACUCCCUGAUGUCACCCCAAGGACACAUCUGUGUCACCCCCAGAACUCCUCAUGUCACCCUGAGACUCUUGUCACCCCAAGGACUCACUUGUGUCACCCUGAGACUUUUGUCACCCCAAGGACCCAUUUGUGUCACCCCCAGAACUCCUCAUGUCACCCUGAGACUCUUGUCACCCCAAGGACUCACUUGUGUCACCCCAAGACUUUUGUCACCCCAGGGGACUCAUUUGUGUCACCCCAAGACUCUUGUCACCCCAAGGGACUCACUCAUGUCACCCCAAGGACCCAAUUGUGUCACCCUCAGACUCUUGUCACCCCAAAGGACUCACUCCUGUCACCCCAAGGACACAACUGUGCCACCCGGAGACUUUUGUCACCCCAAGGACUCCCUGAUGUCACCCCAAGGACACAUCUGUGUCACCCCCAGAACUCCUCAUGUCACCCCGAGACUCUUGUCACCCCAAGGGACUCCCUCGUGUCACCCUGUCUCUCGUGUCACCCCAAGGACGCAGUCGU
rnacentral:lncRNA from 1 species